rnacentral:tRNA from 1 species
GAGUGGCGCAGCGGAAGCGCGCCGGGCUCAUAACCCGGAGGGCAAUGGAUCGUAAGUUGUAUGCCAGAAACG